GCCCACCGGGCCGCCCAGCCACUCCCCUCCAUAGCCACGCCCCCUCCGUGGCUGGCCCGCGCUGCGCAGGCAGGUCCCUAGCAGCUGGCGUCUUGGCGCGAGCCUCCGGAAAGCAGUUUCCACUGGAGUGUGUCCAAGCCGGCAUCUGGCACCUGGGAAAGUGAGAGUCCGAACACACUGCACGUGAAAUAUAAAUACAAUUUGGAGAAUUGUUGGUGCAGCAUGCCUUGGGGAGAAGCCAAAGCCUGCAGCUGCCUUUCAAAGGGGUGUGGCAGGAGGGGGGGGGUUUGCAAUGGAAAUGAUUCCAAACUCAUAAUUCCAGCGGGUGUUUGAUGCUAGAAGCCCAACAAGACUCAUUUGGCUUCUUGUAAAGAAUUA
rnacentral:lncRNA from 1 species